AUCAUGCUUCAUAUAAAAAAAGGUGAAGGAGAUGGUGGAUCAAUCAGUGAGAAAGAAAUCAGGUUCAGAUAAUUAAAACUCCUCAUAUUAUUCUAUAUUGGGAAAAUCACUCUAAAAUUAUUUUAUUAUGGGUGUCAAAGCGAUCUUGUGUGUGUGUGUGUGGGGGGGGUGGUGUCCUAGUAUCAAAUCAGAAUAUAUAAACCUCUUACAAUCUUAUCAAAAUUGUACUGAAACUAAAUAAAUUCAAAAAAAAAAAAAAAAAAAUGUAAGAAAAAAAAUAGAAUGUGUUUAAGGAAAAUCCAAUACCCAGUGUGGUGCUAUUGGGGUUGAGAAACCUCCAUUUGCGCUAAUAAGUGUAAACAAGAACAAUGAUCUCCUACUUUCUCUUUAAAGUAUCAGUACUUCAAUAUAAUAAUAAAAUUUUAUAUUUGGUGUGGGAUUUGUGGGACCAAUAAAACACUGCCAUGUAUGGGUGUUGUUAACCCUAGUGAUAUUUGAACAUUUUUGGUAAUUUUAUAGACAUGUGGAAAUUUUUUAUUAAUCCCAUAAGCCCACACCGAAAAAUCACAACAUAUAAAUUUCUUGUUAAAUAUAAGAUAAAAAAUUGAUCCAAAGGAAGUACUGGGCUUCUUUUCAUGAAAGAAUGAUCUUCGCAGGUUUCUUAAUAGGCACAAUGACAUGAAACUAUUGAUAAAAUCAUAGAAAGAACGGAGUUCCAAGGUUAGUGUGUGAGGUACAGUACUAAAGAUUAUGAAUCUGUGAUCAGAAGGUUUUCUCAAUUAUGUCUAGUGCAGGAUGGGUUUUGGCAAUGUAUCUAGAAAUUAGCCGCUACUGUCCCUUUCUCCAUUCCGAUCAAUCUUUCAGUAUCGUAAAAUAUCUAGACUUAUUUAACUAUGGUAACCUACGCAAAUGUAAAGAAACAACUCUUUUUUAAUUCUUUCACAGAAAAUGUCAUACAAUAAUUUGUGGGAAAUUAUAUGACUUCGCAACUCUUCCAAAGUUUGACUUGAUAAAAACUUAUUAUUUCAUUAUUUAUAACCAAAAAAAUCCUAAACAACCCAUCAUUCUAAACAAAAUCUAAACACUGAUACACCUAUAAAAAUCAUACAAGUUAACAAACAAACAAUACCCAAAUCUUCAGUAAUAAAAAAAAUUCCAUAUUGAAGUUGAAACACAUGCGUUGAAGUUUUUCUUUUAGACAUUUCAACAAACAAUAAAAACCCAUCAUUUUAUUUACAUCAAAGCACCACCUUGUGAUAUGUGAAUUGAUUUCCAAAGCUGUUUAAACCUUAAAGCGACAAUAUACAAGAGAGAGAGAGAGAGAGAGAGAGAGAGAGAGAGAGAGAGAGAGAGAGCUUACAACUUAGUUGGGGUGGUCGAAUUGCAGAUGAUUUUCAAAGAGAGAGAGAGGGAGAGAGAGAGAGAGAUCAGAGUCUGAUCAUUAGACUAGGGCUGGCAAAAUGACCCGUGACCUGUUAACCCGACACGAACCCGACCCGAUAUAAACAGGUUUGGGUUCAGCCUUAUCGGGUUGGCGGGUCAUUUUGACCCGAACCUGUUAACCUGUUUAUUAUACAUGUCAGGUUCAGGUCUGACCAUUAGCAGGUCGGGUCAAACCCGAAACCCGUGAAGUAAACCCUAAAUUUUAGCCCAUAUAUAAAACACCCCAUUUUUUUCACUCUUCUUUGUUCCUCCUUGGCCGUAACAACUAACAAAAGAUUGAUUCUCUGUUUGGUUCUCUUCCUUCUUUGGGUAAUUUCCCGAAUAAGCAUAGGUUUAUCAACUUUCUUCCCAAAUCAGCACAUUUGACUGCAAUCUUCCCCAACAAGCACAUUUCUCGGUUUGAUUUUUCAAUUGGACAUUUCUACCCUUAUGACAGCUUUAAGCCGUCACAUCAUAUCUUUUGUUUGAUUGAUUUUUCUCUCUCAUCAUUCAAUUCAGCAAACUAAACUCUCGCCGUUAGAUGAAAAAGCAUCUUUGAUUACCACCGUUGGAUGAAAUAACACAGAAACCAGCAUUCUCAAUCCUCCACACCACACUACUCUAUCCUCCACCCAAAAAAGACAAAAACAGCUGUCUUACCUUAAAAGAGAAGUAAACCAAACUUUUCUCUGUUCUUCUUCUUCACCUUCUUUGUUCAUCACAGAGAAUGAACAAGAAGAUAACCUCUUUUCAUCAGAUCACAUUCUCUUUGUCGUAAAGCUUCGAUUUUUUUUUUUUUGACGUUGGGGUUUUCAUCGGUAAUAUGUUCAUCAUGGGAAAAAAAGGAAACAAUAAGGGCAAGCAAGUUAUGAACGUUUUUCAGAUUCCUGGUAAGUUUUGAGGUUUGAAGGAAGGUUGUUCAUUUAUAAUGGUAAUGGGGGGUUUGAUUUCAGUGGCAUCAAUACCAAUCAUUGGUAUUAAAGUUGUUUUCUUAGGUUUCAAUCUCAGUGACAUUAAAGUAUUCACUCACACACACCCACCAGCUUAAAUGCAAGCAUUCAAUUGUGGGUGGGGUUUCAACUCUAGUUGAUUGUUGGGUUGGGGGUAUGAAAACCCCAGAAUUUGGUUUAUGGGUUUCUAGUAUGUUGUUUUCAAGCUUUAAAUCACUAGUGUCUACCGUGUAUUGCUCUUUGUCUCUGUUUUUAUGGGGGGUUUUGAAGUUUUUUAUCUAAUGAUUAGAAGAUCUAAAAGUGGGUUUAUCAUGUGGUACUGAUUAUCACUUUGACAUACAUUCUUAAAUUUGCUAGGAAUAUGGGUCUCAUCCUCCAAAGCACAUGAAAAACUUAUGGAUGUUGGGCCUUUAGAAAAGUGGGCAAGUGCUUUCCAAGAGAAAUCCAGGUAAGUUUGCUAACAUAUUUCUAUGUACGCUAUAAUACAAAUCCUAUCCAGUACUAUAAGGUUGCUAUCUUUUACAUUGAUUUUGCAGAUAUGGAAUUGUAACAACAAAUCAUGUGGAGAGCUGGAACAAAAUGAUCAUUGGAGAAAGAAUGAUGCCAGUUACUACCAUUGUUUCAAUGAUACGAGAUAAUGUAAUUAGGCAUUAUCGAGAUUAUCACAAUGAUUCUUUGAAGUUCAAUUCACCUGUCACAACAUGGUGUCAAGAGCAAAUAGUGCACAAUGCUGCAGUUGCAAGAAAGUGCACACUUGAAAGAGCUUCAGCAGGUAUUUGGUCUGUUAGAGGGCUUAAAAGGUCAUGUGUGGUUGACCUUAACAAAAGAACAUGUACAUGCAAAUGGUUUCAAACCAUGGGGAUACCAUGUGAGCAUGCCAUGGCAGCUAUAAAGGAAGUUGGAUUUGAUCCAUACAAAUUUGUUGAGGUUUACUACUUGAAGGAAACAUACAUAGAAACUUAUAGAGAAAAAUGGACACCCACAAGAGGGAAGGAAGAAUGGCCAACCGACAGACAAAGAAGAAGAAUUCUUCCACCACUAAAAACUUCAAAGGCAGGGCGUCCUAAAACAGCCAGGAAGAGAGGUAAAGCUGAGGGUAUCCCUGUCCAGAGUAGGCGAUGUUCAAUGUGUAGAGUCAGAGGUCAUAACAAAUCAACUUUUCUUGAAUGUGUAGAUGACUAUCAACUCUUCAGUCACACCCUAUUUGGUGAAGGGCCACCACUAAGCCCUGUUCCAGCUACAAUCUAAGUACUGAAAUGGGUUUUGUAAUUUUUUGGGAAUGUAUCUUCCACAUACAUCGUUCUAUCCUCUACAUAUAGCCUGUUAUCCGUUGCCUUUAUUUUGUAUUGAUUUUCAUGUUAUAUAAGGGUAGGGGCUUAAAAUCCAACCUAUUUUUGACAGGAAAACACUCUUGUUAUCGUAUGUUUUAUCAGUGAUACUUGAGUGUUACCUUUUUUGGUUGUUAGGUUUUCUGCAUAGAUUGUCUACUAUGCAUUGCAGUGAUGUCCGCUAUGUUGGUACUACCUAACGGCUACCAUAUAUUUGUGUAUCCUCUACAAUUCAAACAUAAAGAACAGGAACAAUAUAGGUUCACAAACAACCAAAUAAGAACAGUGACAAUCAUUCACAACCAUGAACAUAGAUUCAUAAACAACCACAUAAAAAACAUUGGGUUCAUAAACAACCAAAUAAACAUGUCUUCAAACAACCAAAUAAAAUGUAUAGCAUACAAUACAAACAACAAAUAACUAAACUUUGCUCUUGUUUUUGGAAGAGGGAGAUUCCCCUAUAUCAAUUAGGUCUCUGGCAAUACGAUAGCGCAUCUGAAGAGGAUUUGCAUCGAAAUGAGGUGGUAUUCCUCGAAGCACGCAUUCGACGAAGGCAAGGAGGAAUAAUCCACAGCUACAACCAUCUGGUUGUUCAGCACACUUAACAUACUCACGCUUCCACUUCAUAUCCAGUUUGAGUUGAACCUGUGAUGGAUCAGCAGCAAAAACAACAUAUGGCAAAAACUUUUCCAUGUUUCUCAAUUCAGGUAUACCCCUUGUCAUUCCCAAAGAAUCAUAGAUUCUAACAAUUUUCUCACUAAAAUUGAAAGAAAGCAGAAUCCAGUGGUUAUCAUUCACCUACAAAUAACACAUAUAUACAUAUCACUAGUGGCAAAUAGAAAUAAUAAAAUAGAGGAUAAUUUAUGACAUGUAGAGGUUGUGGAGGAAAGUAUGAAAUAUACCUGUAAUGGGAUGAGAAGUGUCUUUGCUUUCACAGGGUGAACUUGAUUUUUGAGACCUACCCAUGGAUCAACAAUUGAACUACAGCCUGAUGAAAUUUGGAAACGCCCAGAUGUCACUCUUUCCUGAGGAUUCAUUUUGGCAAAACUCUUAUCUUUCAUCAGUUUGUCGUAUUCAGGCAUCACAUCACACUUGAUUUUGGUCUACAAAAAGGAAAAAUAAUUCUUCAAACAGCUCAGAAUUGAAGGUUAUAAUUACUAGGUAGAAUAAGGGAACAAGGUACUUACAUGUAGAUAUACUGUUGAAACAAUAGCAUAUUGAUCUUCAUCCCUAAAGUAAUAUGGCCUCAUGAUACCAUACCAACGAAUGAGCAGCCUGAGAUAGAUGUCAAUAAUCUCAUCAUUAAGCCAAUUACCUUUGUAGAGUGUGUUGUAGGCAUUCACUGAGCAUGAAGCCAGAAAACCAUAACUUCUCAUGGGGACUCUACUCCACUUUGGGUCAGAAACCAAACUCCAAAAGUAGUGACAAAGUUUUGUAUCAUCCUCUUCCACUUGUCUACUGAAGAAUGGUUCUUUCAUUAUCUCUGACAUCCUUGCAUUACACCUAAGGCCCAAAGAAACCUCUUCAGCUUCCAUGUUUUGAUAAGUUUUGGCUUCCCUUUUCCUCUUUGCCACUCUUAAUGCUUGCAGGUCAAAUUUUGUAUCCUUCUCAUCAUCAUCAGAUUCACUUACACCAAGAAUGAGAACACUCUUCCUGCCUGAUGACUCCUGAAUAUCUGAUGCAGUAGGUGUUUCAAGUCUAUACUGUUGAGGUACAUCUUCUCUAUUAACCACCACAUCAGUAUGAUGAUCACAUCCACCAUUGUCAUCAUCAUCCCCAUCAUCAUUCUUAUCAUCAUUCUUCUUAUCAUCAUCCUCCCUACCAUCAUCUUUUUCAUCAUCAUCCUGCUUAUCAUCCUCCUCCUUACCAUCAUCUUUUUUAUCAUCAUCAGUAUCAUCAUCCUGCUUAUCAUCAUCUUCUUCUUCACUAUCCCCAGAUUCAACAGUUGUAGAAGAUGCCUCAAUGCUUUUAGCCUUGGAACCAGACAAUGUAGCGGAUGAAACCUCAGUUGUAGCCGUUUCAGUUGCCUCUGUUGUUACCUUUGUCGUUGUAGCGGAUGGAUCCUCCUUUCUAGCCGACACUAUAUCUUCUGUAGCGGAUGCAGAAGGAUCGCCACCCUUUGUACUUGAAUCAUUAGGUUUACCUUCUUCAUUCACUUCAGCUUUCUCGCCCAUCAGUACAGAAAGACCUUGGAGUUUUGACAUUGCCUUGGCAAGAGGAUCAGGUACACCUCUCAAGUUAUUCAAUACAUCCACAAUGGACUCCUGGUCAUCUGAUGAAUGAUCAUCACUCCAAAAAGACAACUUUCUUACUUUCUUACUGCUGGGGACUUCAUCAUCAUCUGACUGUAUCUUCCUUGACUUUUUUUCCUUCAGCUUCUUUGCCUCCCUUCUCUUUCUUAAUUCUUUCCUCCAACUAAGAUCAAAGGCAUCACCUUUAACCUUCCUUUCAGGUUGAUGCCUUAUAAUAGGAAACAACAUCUCUGCUCUCUUCCUUUUUUUCUCUUCUUUCUCUAUCUGUUUCUCUCCAGCCUGUUGGUCAUUUUGUUCUUCAUCAUUAAAAUCAAACACGGGAAAAUGUCGGUCUAAUGGUAACAUGUCAUCAUCACUCCCCCCUACUGUAUUUUUACCCUCUUCUAUUUGAUCAUUCUGUGGAGCUGCCUUAUCUUCAUCCUGCUUCCCCAUAUCCACAAUGGACAUCUUCUUUUUACGCUUCUCCAUUUCUUCAGAUUCCCCCUUCUUUGAAUUUUUCUUCUUCUUCUUGUUAUCCUUCUCCCCCUCCUCUGAUCUUUUCCUCUUUAUCCCCUUAUCCCCUUCAGAUUUUGGUGGUUGAGGUUCCCUUCUUUUUACCUCAUAAUUAAAAGACAAAGAGCUUUUACUCCUGGUGGUUCUAACUGUUGUCUGUGCUGGUAUAGGCUCUUCCUCCAUCUUCUUAUAAUCAAUAAUUUUGGGCUGUGGGGAAUCACUCACUGUUGUGGCUUGGGGGGGUUUCUGCUUGGGAGGUAUCUUCACCCUCCCAAUAGGUUUGGGUAGAGCACUAACUUUCUUGGUUGGUACAAUGGGUUUCUUGGGUGAAACAAUUGUUUUCUUGGAUGGAAUUGUUUGUUUCCUUGUUGAAACUGUUGGUGAAACUUGGGAUGCAAUACUUGAUCUGGUUGCCCUUUUUGGAGGACUUGGCAAAGGAUUGGUCUUUUUGACUGAUUUGGGUUUGAGAGUUGGCUUUGAGGGGGAACUUAUCUUCUUCUUACUUUUACUUGUCUUCUUUGAUGCCCCUUUACCAAUCUGUGCAAACACACCUUUAACAGCUACAUCAGCAUCACUGCUUUUGUCAGAAACCAUCCCUGCCUCACGACCCUUCAAAAAUAAUGCAAUAAGAUUGUAGAGGAUAAACCCAACAUUAUAGAAAACAUCAUUCAAAUAUUUAAAGGAUAUAUUAUGUUAACAUUCAAAUUAUAGAGGUUUCAAGGUUUCAACGUUUCAAGGUUUAAAGUUUUUGUAUAUGACUUCAUUCAAAUUAAACAACAUUUAAAGUUUAAAGAGUAUAUUAUGUUAACAAAUUAUAAAGAGUAUACAGAAACAAGGUAACGGAUAGAACUGUAUAACAUAGAGGAAAACAAUCACAAUGUAGACGAUAUACCAAAACAUAUUAAUAUUGAUCAACUAGAGGUUUUAGAAUAUAUGUAUUCAAUGUAAUAAGUAAGAAACCUAUAAAGAAGAUAAGUUAUUCAUGGUUUCAGAUAGAAUUUCAAAGUAGUAGUAACAACAUACCAUUUCAAAGACUCCUUUGAGAAUUGCCUCAAGAGCAUUUCUUUCAAGUGUAAUAAAAUUGGAAGAACUUGUUGUUGCAGAUGAUUGGUGAGAUGGACGAACUAGCCUAGAAACUGGCCUUGAAGAAGCAGACUCUUCAUAUUCUGCUUGUGCUUGAGCCUGAAACUGGAAUUAACAUGUAACGGAUAAGUAUAUAUCUGUAGAGGAUAGAGAAAACAAAGUAGGGGAUAUUGAAAAUACAGCAACAUAAAGAUGACUUACUUCUUCAACCACUUGUAAAUUUGCUGCAGCUCUUUCUUGCAGAGUGAUAUCCAGUGGAUAGGCCACAUUAAUGAAGCCUUUCUUGGGGUGAAAUUUCUCAGAAAGUUUGUCCCUACUUUUGUUCCUAGUGGGCAAAUCAUACCAUCCUAACAUCCUUGGAAAAGGAGAGUUGGGAAUCUUUCUGGGACCAAGAUCUGGGAGAUGCAAAUAUGUCCAAAUAAUGAAUGCAAACACACAUCCAUUGAUACAAUAGUUUUGUACACCAUCAACAAUUUUUGUAUACACAUCUUCUAAAUUGCUCUCAAGCAAUUUGAAUGCAGCAGUACCCCAUGAAAAAUCAUCAAAAUCUACCAAAUUUUCAGCAAGAUCGACAUACCUUACAUCAAUUGUUUUGGAUGAAUCAGCAAGCAGAAAAAUUGCAAGAAAAUACAACCUGUUCAACCUAUUGACAUCAUCUGGAUUAGCAUCUUCGGCUUCUCUUGCUUCUUUAAUUGCAUCAAGGAUAUGAGAAUCUCUGAUGUGUAGGUUAGUCUGGAAGUAUUUCGAUCUGAAGGCACUAUAUUCACUUUGCUUCCUAACAACAAAAUCAACAGGUAAAUGCCCAAAUUUCAAAGGCCCCAAAAUCAAAGCAAGAUCUGUCAUUUUGAACUCAAUCACUCUACCCCCAAUUGAAUACUUCAGUCGACCAACCCUAUUUGAAACAAUUUCUGUAACUACCGAAGUUAUCAUGGAGAUUUUUUCUUGUCCCUCCAAACUCAAAAACUGCCCAAAAGGGAAAUUUUUAAAAGAUUCUAACUCAUUGGGGGGCAAUUUUUCGUUUGGGUUUAGAUAGUGGGCUUCAAACUUAGAUGGUGAGCAUCUCACAGUGAUGCUAAAUUUUCUACUGACUUCAUCGCCUUCAAUUUUUUUCUUCGGCAUGAUUAUGUAGAAAUUAGAAUGGAAGAUGGAAAAUUAGAAGAUGAUUGUGUAGAAAUUAGAAGAUGAUUGUGUAGAAAUGGAAGAUGGGAAAGAAAUUAGAAGAGUUAUGAGCAGUUUAAUGGAAGAAGAAUCGGUUUAAGAAGAAAAAAGAGUGGGUGGUUGUGGAUUCUGAAUCGGUGUGAAAACCCUAGGUUAAGUAUCACUCUACCUGUUCCCGCUCGAUUUUCCCGCCCAAUUAAAACCCAACGGUUAAUGACACGUGGCGCUGAGUGGCUGUUGUUUACUGUAGCAGAUGCUUGUUUAAAAUUUCAAAUUGUAGAGGAAAUAACAUCUACUUGUGGAGGAUAGGAAUUAGCAAAUUAUAUCCAACGGUUGUAACUUAUUAUCAUGAUCCAAUGGUUGUAAUCUACUGUCAUGUCAUUAUCUAAGAUGUCACAUCUACUGAAAACCUAUUGAAAACCUAUUAAAAGAAAUGAUUAUAGGCUAAAGGGUAUAAUAGGAAACAAAAUAUGCUAAAAGACAAAAAUUCAGCAAGUCAAACCGAGAAAUGUGCUUGUUGGGGAAGAUUGCAGUUAAAUGUGCUGAUUUAGGAAGAAAGUUGAUAAACCUAUGCUUAUUCAGGAAAUUGCCCUUUUUUUUUUGAUCUUUUAUUCUACUAAGCAAGCAGUAAUCUCUCUCAAGUUUCAAAUAUUGAUCUCAAUUUUGUCUAAAGAAAACUUCAAGUGAGUUACUCUUCAUAGUCGAUUUUGAUUUUAAAUCUUAGUUCUACUAAACCCUAGUUCGAAAUUUCAUCAUCAUAGAUUUAUCUAGUAUUUUUAUUUUUGUACAAAUAUAAAUAAUUGUUAUAAAGGCAUGUUUCCCCCUUCAGUUCUAUGUAUAAUUAAAUUUCAUGACCAUAGAUUCAUGCAGUGUUUGAUUUUCUUUAUUUUAAAACCCCAUCUUGAUUAUGGUUUGGAUUGUGAUGAUUGUCUUAGCCUUGAUAGAAUCAUCAGGGUUUUUAUAGCAGCAAUUUUCUUUUGCUGGUCUAUUAAUAGCACUAUAUCACCUUCUAAUUUUACACAAGUUAAACAUGAAGAUCAUUGUGUUGCACAUCUAGCUCUCCAUUAGUGAAUGAACUUAACUUCACAUUCAGUUUCACUGACAUUUGCAUGACUUGGACGUCGACUUUGUCUAGCUAUAUCAUUAGUUAUAUUCUUGUUGAAUUAUUGUGAGUCUGUGAUAUAUGUUUUGUUUGGUAAAUGUGAAAUAUGUUUUGAAAAUUAAUUUUUGAAAUGUUAUUGAUAUGGUGGUAUUCAAACAAAUAUUUUUUUCUAUGUAAAAGUCCAAUGUACUGAUGUGUAAUGGUAUUGUGUUUAGUAUUCGUUUUUUUUACAUGGACAAUAUUUAACAUAUCCAUUUCUGAAUUUCACUACAAUGGUUGUUAAAUGCCCUCUAGGGACACUUCCUGAUUACAAUGAAGUAGCGAGUCCAUGCUUUGGUGUUAGACUUUUACUAAUGUUGUUCCUGGUUUUUCAAUUUGGCAGGUUACACUAGAGCUACCAACAAACAGUACUUAGUGCAAAGAGUCAAUAAAAUGGUGAACUAUCUUGAAGACAUGGACAUAUGGGAAAAUGUUCUUGGGAAGUGUAUGGAUGAUUGCUUGUAGCGGCACAACGUGUUCAAUUGUGUUCAUUGCUUGUUGUUUGUUUUUCUAUUUUACGAACUUUGUAUUAUUUCAUGAGAAAUUUUUGUUAAACUUUUAUUGUGAUUUAUUAGGCUUCUGUUGUAUUAAACUUUGUGUUGUUAAACUGUUGUACAAGUUUUAAAUGAAUGGAAGGCAUGCUGUUAAUGAAAAUCAUAUUAACUUAGUUUAACAGGUUACAAGUUUGAUGGG
rnacentral:lncRNA from 1 species